UACGAAGGCCCCAAGCGUUAUCCGGAAUUAUUGGGCGUAAAGGGUCCGUAGGCGGUAUGCAUAGUCGCAGGUUAAAGCUCCCGGCUCAACCGGGAAAAUGCUUGCGAAACGUGCACACUAGAGGAUGUGAGAGGCAUGUGGAACUCACGGUGUAGGGGUGAAAUCCGUUGAUAUCGUGGGGAACACCAAAGGCGAAGGCAACAUGCUGGCGCAUUCCUGACGCUGAGGGACGAAAGCGUGGGUAGCGAAUGGG
rnacentral:misc_RNA from 1 species